GGUUCGCCAACUUGACCAUUCAACAACAAUGAAUAGCCAAAAGAUGUAAGAACUAAGAAUUAUAGUUCCCAACAGUAGGAUUUAAACAUCAACAUGAACAGAAGAUAGAACUUGAUGCAUCAUUGGAAUCAACAUUCCACUUUUCAAGUGACAUGUAUCCAAAACAUUCAGACAAAAAGAGGGUUCUGAAAUUUUACCAAGGCGUUCGAACUGGA
rnacentral:misc_RNA from 1 species